CUUCUUACCAUUCCAGGACAAAAUUCCCAUUUAAGUUCUAUGAUCAAAAAAGAAAAUAGCAUAUACAGUCUAUCAAUGGACAGAUUCCUGAAUUUAGUUGUCAUAUUAAAGUAACAUUGAUUAAAGCAGACUUUUCAAUUUAAAAUUCCGUUUGGUAUUGGGUCCAGCACAGAAAGUGUCUCCUCUAUUGCAGAAACCAAACCAAAUCAACCAAACAAGAGCACCCUCUCAAUCUGGUGCGAUUUGAAUCAAGCAUCUGCUCCUGGACCAAUUGGGUAGAGGAGGAGAGAAGGAUCGCAUUCGCUGGACAAGAUCCUGUGAUGCUGUUCAGAACAGAAUUCACUGCCUUCUAAGAAGUCAUUUUGUAAGCUCAGUUCCCUUUGUGAAGCUGUGGCCAAGAAGAUGGGAUUCUUUCUCCUUCAGCUCCCAGGCAAAGCUACAGUAUAUCCCAAGAGAGAGCAGGUCACCAUCAUUUCUCAUCACCAUCACCACCACCCACGUUAGUGUUGGAGAGGACAAAUCCCAGGUCAGCCUCCUCUGUCCAUGUGAGGGCCCUGAUUCAUUUGAAAAUGACAGAAGAAAGAAUUCUGCCAGCAGACAGCCUUUGGACUCAAGCUUCAGCAUCAACUCUUCCCUGGGUCUCCAGCCUGCCCUGCAGAUUUUGGACUUGCCAGCAUCUACAAUCACAUGAGCCAGUUUCUUAAAAUAGAUCUCUCUCUCUCUCUCUCUCUCUCUCUAUGUAUAUAUAUAGAGAGAGAUCUACAUAUCUGUAUAUCUAUCUAUCUAUCCAUAUAUCGCUGCUGUUUCUCUGGAGCACCCUGAUUAAUACACUACCCUUAAGAGAUUUUUUGAAUUACACUCAAGAAGUAUAUGCUCAUUUUUUCCAUUUAUAAUUUAGUGCAUUAUAAAAUAACCUUCUCUUUUGGUUAAUUGUAUACGGUUCUCCUCAACUCCUAGCACUUUCUCCCCUCACCCUUUUUGCUCUCUUUAAUCAUAUGAAAGACUUGAAGUUCAGAUGGGAACACUAUCAGGGGCUUACUACAUGUGCUUAAUAGUCUUCUACCCUCCUAGCCUUCUUCAUACUUAUGACAGAUGUAUAUAUCUCACACAAUUUAAAGGGAAAUAUACAGUCAUGAUGCUUUUCCAGAAAAACACAAUCUAUAUACAUGAGAAGCCUCAUAUUGAGGAAGGAUGGGAGAGUGUAAAAUCAAAUAAAACU